GGACUACACGGGUUUCUAAUCCCGUUCGCUCCCCUGGCUUUCGUGUCUCAGCGUCAGCACACCCCCAGCGAGCUGUUUUCACCGUUGGCGUUCCAAAUGAUAUCUACGCAUUUCACCGCUCCACCAUUUGUUCCGCUCGCCCCUAGGUGGCUCAAGACGACCAGUAUACCCAGCAGUUCCACGGGUGAGCCGUGGGAUUUCACAAGGUACUUAGAAGUCCGCCUACACACGCUUUAAGCCCAGUGAUUCCGCCUAACGCUCGGCACCUCUGUAUUACCGCGGCGGCUGGCAC
rnacentral:rRNA from 1 species